AUUGAACGCUGGCGGAAUGCUUUACACAUGCAAGUCGAACGGUAGAGGGGGCAACCCCCUUGAGAGUGGCGAACGGGUGAGUAAUAUAUCGGAACGUGCCCAGUCGUGGGGAUAACGUAGCGAAAGUUACGCUAAUACCGCAUACGAUCUAAGGAUGAAAGCGGGGGACUCGCAAGAGCCUCGCGCGAUUGGAGCGGCCGAUAUCAGAUUAGGUAGUUGGUGGGGUAAAGGCUCACCAAGCCAACGAUCUGUAGCUGGUCUGAGAGGACGACCAGCCACACUGGAACUGAGACACGGUCCAGACUCCUACGGGAGGCAGCAGUGGGGAAUUUUGGACAAUGGACGCAAGUCUGAUCCAGCCAUUCCGCGUGCAGGAUGAAGGCCCUCGGGUUGUAAACUGCUUUUGUACGGAACGAAACGGUGAGCUCUAAUACAGUUUGCUAAUGACGGUACCGUAAGAAUAAGCACCGGCUAACUACGUGCCAGCAGCCGCGGUAAAGUG
rnacentral:rRNA from 1 species